rnacentral:rRNA from 1 species
CCUACGGGUGGCUGCAGUGGGGAAUAUUGCACAAUGGGGGAAACCCUGAUGCAGCGACGCCGCGUGAGUGAAGAAGUAUUUCGGUAUGUAAAGCUCUAUCAGCAGGGAAGAAAAUGACGGUACCUGACUAAUAAGCCCCGGCUAACUCCGUGCCAGCAGCCGCGGUAAUACGUAGGGGGCAAGCGUUAUCCGGAUUUCCUGGGUGUAAAGGGAGCGUAGACGGCAGUGCAAGUCUGAAGUGAAAUCCCAUGGCUUAACCAUGGAACUGCUUUGGAAACUGUGCAGCUGGAGUGCAGGAGAGGUAGGCGGAAUUCCUGGUGUAGCGGUGAAAUGCGUAGAUAGUAAGAGGAACACCAGUGGCGAAGGCGGCUUACUGGAAUGUAACUGACGUUGAGGCUCGAAAGCGUGGGGAGCAAACAGGAUUAGAUACCCUUGUAGUC